GACGAACGCUGGCGGCGUGCCUAACACAUGCAAGUCGAACGGUGAACGAGGGAGCUUGCUCCCUCCGGAUCAGUGGCGAACGGGUGAGUAACACGUGAGCAAUCUGCCCCGAACUCUGGGAUAAGCGUUGGAAACGACGUCUAAUACCGGAUACGACGCGGGAGGGCAUCCUCUCCGCGUGGAAAGAACUUCGGUUCGGGAUGAGCUCGCGGCCUAUCAGCUUGUUGGUGAGGUAACGGCUCACCAAGGCGACGACGGGUAGCCGGCCUGAGAGGGUGACCGGCCACACUGGGACUGAGACACGGCCCAGACUCCUACGGGAGGCAGCAGUGGGGAAUAUUGCACAAUGGGCGCAAGCCUGAUGCAGCAACGCCGCGUGAGGGACGACGGCCUUCGGGUUGUAAACCUCUUUUAGCAGGGAAGAAGCGAAAGUGACGGUACCUGCAGAAAAAGCACCGGCUAACUACGUG
rnacentral:rRNA from 1 species